GGUGGGAUGGCAGAGUGGACGAUUGCGCGCGCCUUGAGAGCGCGAGUCCGCGCAAGUGGACCGGAGGUUCGAAUCCUCCUCCCACCG
rfam:Candidate division WWE3 bacterium RIFCSPLOWO2_02_FTLL_53_10 rifcsplowo2_02_scaffold_35941, whole genome shotgun sequence.